UUUGGAAUAUUGCACAAUGGGGGAAACCCUGAUGCAGCGACGCCGCGCUGGAGGACGAAGGAUCUAGGUCUGUAAACUCCUUUUGCCAGGAAAGACUUAGGACGGUACCUGGCGAAUAAGCCCCGGGCUAACUACGUGCCAGCAGCCGCGGUAAGACGUAGGGGGCGAGCGUUGUCCGGAUUUACUGGGCGUAAAGAGCGCGUAGGCGGCUAGUUAAGUGAGAAGUGAAAUCUCCAGGGCUCAACCCGGAAACUGCUUUUCAUACUGGCCAGCUGGAGGGACGCAGGGGUGACUGGAAUUCCCGGUGUAGCGGUGAAAUGCAUUGAUAUCGGGAGGAACUCCAACAGCGAAGGCAGGUCACUGGGCGUUUCCUGACGCUGAGGCGCGAAAGCGUGGGUAGCAAACAGGAUUAGAUACCCUGGUAGUCCACGCCCUAAACGAUGGAUACUAGACGUAAGAGGUAUCGACCCCUCGAGUGUCGCAGCUAACGCAUUAAGUAUCCCGCCUGGGGAGUACGGCCGCAAGGUUG
rnacentral:rRNA from 1 species